rnacentral:rRNA from 1 species
CCUAAAUCUUUCCACGUGAAUUGUUUGGACAACGUUGGGCUUCGUUGGCGGCUUCCCUUGUGGUUGUCGUCGGCUUGAGGCUAUCGGACGGCUUGGCUGCUUGCUUGGUUCGUUGAUUGAUUGCUCCGUCAGUCGAUCGAUGGACCGAGAGAGUAGUGAGGCGGUCUUUUUGUAAACCCAUUGUCGUAUUGAAACUGAUUGUACUGUGGGGACGAAAGUCUCUGCUUUGAACUAGAUAGCAACUUUCAGCAGUGGAUGUCUAGGCUCGCACAUCGAUGAAGAACGCUGCGAACUGCGAUACGUAAUGCGAAUUGCAGGAUUCAGUGAGUCAUCGAAAUUUUGAACGCAUAUUGCACUUUCGGGUUUUGCCUGGAAGUAUGUCUGUAUCAGUGUCCGUAGACUAAAAUUGCCUUUCUUGCGUCGUGUAGUCGUCGGUUGGAAAGCGCAGAUGUGAGGUGUCUUGCGUGGUCUGCAUGGGUYGGUUCGGCGCAGGCCGGGUCGAGUCGGUUGGUUCUGCGCAAGUCCCUUUAAAGUCGGACGUGUUUCUCUGUGUGGUGCGCGGUGGCGGAUCUGUGGACGUGCGUACGUGCGGGACGGCAAUGCUGUGCGCGGACGAGUCUGGCGGUCUUUGGUGCUUGCACUGUGGGGAUUCCUCGAUUGGCGGUAUGUUUGGCUUCGGCUUUGACAAUGCAGCUUAUCGGGUGUUUCUCUGCGCGGCUUGUGCUGUAGGAAGACGAACCGGAUGGUCUGUGUGUGUCGGCGUUGUGUGUGUCUGUGCGUUCGUUGGUUUGCGAAGAGCCGUUGUAUGCGUGCGCCAUGCAUGAGGCGUGGUAGAUUUGGGAAACUGUGCUGGCAUGGACUUUCGGGUCGGUGCGAGCAUCUCAAUUGGACCUGAUAUCAGACAA